rnacentral:lncRNA from 1 species
GUGGGAACAACUGCUACACACACAGAGCACAGACCUCUGUCUCACUCUACUGCUGUCUGUCUUGCUGCAGAAUGCAGGUCUGUACACGGUGACCUCCACACCCCUCAACUGUGGCCCCCAGCUCCGGGUGCUGCUCCGGCGCCCAGCAAAUGAGAAGCUACUCUUGUUGCUCCCCGUUGGCUAUCCCAAGAAAGAUGCUACUGUGCCUGCACUGACCAGAAAGCCGCUGGAAGACAUCAUGGUGGUCAUGUGAGCCCAGUGCCAGGAGGAAGGAGUGCAUCCCUGCUGACAGCUAGGAAGCAGCAGCCUGAUGAAGUUGUCAUUGCUGUUUCUUUGCAUCAUCCCCCUAUGUCACUGUUGCUCUCUUGCAGUUUGCAUCUGUAUUUCUUUUAGUGCUACUAACAGCAGUGAGCAAUCAAGCGCUGUGCAUUUGACAGGUGCUGUUACUUAUGAAACCAGGCAGUUGUUCCAGGGAACAAUGGCAUUUAAAUGACCUUCAUCACUUGAUUUUUCUCAUGCAUUGGGGGGACAAAUCUUUCCUUGAACUGGAAUAUAUAUUCUUCUUAUACUUUUCUGAUUGCCAUUACACAGUUAUUUUAAGAAUUUUAAUGAAGGUUGUAUUAAAAGAUAUAAAAAGGUCAGGCUCAGCUGGUGCUGCCGAUCCCUGUGCGGGCAGAGCCCCCUCGUGGGGCCGCAGGUACCGCCGGCGCUGGGAACAGCGCAACGUGAAAACGCUGGGAGAGAGCCAUCCUUCCUGCAGGUCUCUGUUCUGUGAAACACUUUCCCACCCUGAUCUCUGCUGCAGGCAAAUUCAGCCAAACUGGCUUCAGCCCUCCUUGGGCGUUGGUCGAGAUGACCCGCUGCUCCUUGUCUGAAGUCUAACCUGUGCUAGAGGAAGGUGUCCCUGCCCACAGCAGGUGGAUUUGAGCUAGAUGAUCUUUCAGGUUCCUUCCAACCCAAACCAUUCUAUGAUUCUGUAAUUCCAUAAGUCAAUCCCAUUUAUUAUCACCCGUUGUCAGCCUAGCAAGUGGAUAAUGUGGAUAAUGUUUUACAGAGGUACAGAUUUUAGCCAUACCAAUGCCUCAGUCACCCAGUGGGAAAAAUUAUUUUUCUCUUAAGUAGACCAUUUUGCUGGUAUUUAGCAGGCAUGCCUAAAUGUGUUCACCUAUUGCACUAAUCUUGUUUCACAUCCUCAGUGAUAAAGCUAUGGCAGGAAGCUCUUAAUGCAAGCCUAAUCUAAAAUGAGCUCUUAUAACUAAUAUAAAAUAAAAUAAGGAAGUCCUGUGUCUACA